AGUGAACGCUGGCGGUAGGCCUAACACAUGCAAGUCGAACGGCAGCACAGUAAGAGCUUGCUCUUACGGGUGGCGAGUGGCGGACGGGUGAGGAAUACAUCGGAAUCUACUUUUUCGUGGGGGAUAACGUAGGGAAACUUACGCUAAUACCGCAUACGACCUACGGGUGAAAGCAGGGGAUCUUCGGACCUUGCGCGAUUGAAUGAGCCGAUGUCGGAUUAGCUAGUUGGCGGGGUAAAGGCCCACCAAGGCGACGAUCCGUAGCUGGUCUGAGAGGAUGAUCAGCCACACUGGAACUGAGACACGGUCCAGACUCCGACGGGAGGCAGCAGUGGGGAAUAUUGGACAAUGGGCGCAAGCCUGAUCCAGCCAUACCGCGUGGGUGAAGAAGGCCUUCGGGUUGUAAAGCCCUUUUGUUGGGAAAGAAAAGCAGCAGGUUAAUACCCCGCUGUUCUGACGGUACCCAAAGAAUAAGCACCGGCUAACUUCG
rnacentral:rRNA from 1 species